GGCAGAGAAAGGUCUUCAUUGAGUAUAUAAUUAAUGUUUUUAGACCAUAUUCCAACCAAAACCAUUGCAUUAGCUGCGAAUUGGAUGUUUAAAAUAUAUAUAUAAUUUUCGGAGGCUUGCCCCCUCCCUCCCCUCAUUGUUGCAUUUAACCAUUGCGGUGAAUUUUUUUACAGGAAUUUUUUUUUUAAUUUAUAAGAAGAGACAAAGGAAAAUAAAUUAUGAGGAUUUUGAUUUUUCCAUUCUUGAGAAGAUAUUUAAG
rnacentral:misc_RNA from 1 species